rnacentral:rRNA from 1 species
CAGCACCUCAAGUGGUCAGGAUGAUUAUUGGGCCUAAAGCAUCCGUAGCCGGCGCUGUAAGUUUUCGGUUAUAUCUGUACGCUCAACGUACAGGCUGCCGGGAAUACUGCAGCGCUAGGGAGUGGGAGAGGUAGACGGUACUCGGUAGGAAGGGGUAAAAUCCUUUGAUCUAUUGAUGACCACCUGUGGCGAAGGCGGUCUACCAGAACACGUCCGACGGUGAGGGAUGAAAGCUGGGGGAGCAAACCGGAUUAGAUACCCGAGUAGUCC